rnacentral:ncRNA from 1 species
AAAAAAUAGAGUAAAUAAAAAUUUAUUAUGGUUUAAAAAUUUUAUUUAAAAUUUAUUUUACAUAUAAAUUUUAGUGUUAAUUUUUUAUUAUUUUAAUAAUAAUAAGUUUUUAUUUAUAGUAAUUAAUAUUAAAAAUUUAAGAAAUUAAGAUUUAGUAAUAUUUUAAUUUAUAACAAAUUUUGUGCCAGCAGUUGCGGUUAAACAAAAAUUAAAUUAAAAUUUAUUAGUAAUUAAUAAAUAAUAUUAUUUAAAUUAAUUAAAUAUUAAAUUAUUAAGUGAAAUUUUAAUUUAAUUAAAAUUAAUUUAUAAAUUAUAAUUUAAUAAAUUUUAUUUAUAAACUAGGAUUAGAUACCCUAUUAUUAAAAAUUUAAAUUAAUUAUACUAAAAUAGUAUAUAAUUAUUUAUUGAAACUUAAAUAAUUUGGCGGUAUUUUAGUUCAUUUAGAGGAAUCUGUUUAAUAAUUGAUAAUCCACGAAUAAAUUUACUUAAUUUAAUAUUUUGUAUAUCGUUGUUAAAAAAAUAUUUUUAAAUAAUAUUAAUAUUUUAAAAUUAUAAUAAAAAUUAAAUCAGAUCAAGAUGCAGAUUAUAAUUAAGAAUAUAAUGGAUUACAAUAAAUUUAUUUAUACUAAUGUUAAAUUGAAAAAUUUAAUUAAGGGUGGAUUUAAAUGUAAUUUUAUUUAGUUUAUUAAAAUGAUUAAAAAUUAAGAUAUGUACAUAUUGCCCGUCGCUUUCAUAAAUAAAUUGAAAUAAGUCGUAACAAAGUAGAGGUACUGGAAAGUGUUUCUAGAAAUAU